UACAGGGGGUGCGAGCGUUAUUCGGAUUUAUUGGGCGUAAAGAGCGUGUAGGUGGUCUAUUAAGUCUGGUGUGAAAUCCCUGGGCUCAAUCCAGGAAGUGCAUUGGAUACUGAUAGACUAGAGUGCAGGAGAGGUAAGCGGAAUUCCCGGUGUAGAGGUGAAAUUCGUAGAUAUCGGGAGGAACAACAGAGGCGAAGGCGGCUUACUGGACUGCUACUGACACUAAGGCGCGAAAGCAUGGGGAGCAAACAGG
rnacentral:rRNA from 1 species